UACGAAGGGGGCUAGCGUUGCUCGGAAUCACUGGGCGUAAAGCGCACGUAGGCGGCUUGUUAAGUCAGGGGUGAAAUCCUGGAGCUCAACUCCAGAACUGCCUUUGAUACAGCACGUCUUGAGUCCGGAAGAGGUGGGUGGAAUUCCUAGUGUAGAGGUGAAAUUCGUAGAUAUUAGGAAGAACACCGGUGGCGAAGGCGGCCCACUGGUCCGGUACUGACGCUGAGGUGCGAAAGCGUGGGGAGCAAACAGG
rnacentral:rRNA from 1 species